UACAGAGGUCCCAAGCGUUGUUCGGAUUCACUGGGCGUAAAGGGUGCGUAGGCGGUCGGGUAAGUCUGAUGUGAAAUCUCACAGCUUAACUGUGAAACUGCAUUGGAUACUAUCCGGCUAGAGGAAUGGAGGGGAGACUGGAAUACUUGGCGUAGCAGUGAAAUGCGUAGAUAUCAAGUGGAACACCAGUGGCGAAGGCGAGUCUCUGGACAUUUCCUGACGCUGAGGCACGAAAGCUAGGGGAGCAAACAGG
rnacentral:rRNA from 1 species